rnacentral:lncRNA from 1 species
CAGGAAAUAGGCUGAGGAUCCCACCGGCCACACUGCAGAACACCUCUAACUACAAGAGAAGGUAUUCAACAGUUUCAACAUCUGUUGUAGAAGAUGAAGAACUGCUGUGAACAGUAACUUCUGAGACACCAUAAUCAAGACAAAGUAGGCCACAAAUGUGAAAGUUACAGUCCUGCAAAAAUGGAUAAAACCCAUCCCUGUGACCAGUGUGGGAAGGCUUUCACCAUAGAG